rnacentral:lncRNA from 1 species
CUUUCUUGGUUCCUUUGAUCACGUUGUUGGCACGUGACCCUUGGUUAGCAGCAAUGAAAUCAGGGUUAUAGAUACCAGGGAGUGGGACCAUAGAUUCCAUGUAGGGCCUCAACUGCUUUUGUAGAUCAAUAUCAAAUACCUUAGCCCUGGCCAUGGCAUCUGCUAAAUUCAUGUCACUGAUGUCCCAUCCUCCAAACACUACGUCAUCUGGGUUGACCUAUUUCAUUUUAAAAUUAACAAAAAGAACUAUCAACAAAUAGAAGAAAUAUAAAAAUAUAUCAAUCAGAACCAAAAUUAAAAAAAAAAAAAAAAAAAAAUUGACUCUCGAAAUAACAAUGCCACAUAAAUUGGGACAGGGACAUAAAAAGUAAAGGUUACCAUGGGAAGGAGGCUCUUAAAUGGAGCAUAGAUCUCCUCUCCGUUGAAAGACCCAACUCGAAUAGCAGAAGCCUGAGUAAGAGAGCCAAAGUAAUUGGCUUGUUGAACCUUAUCUUUGGUGGCCCAUGAAAUUCCUCUGCCAAUAUUCAAGACCAGACCAUAAUAUAAGGAAGAAAUAAUUUCUACAACAUAAAAAUAAAAACAAGAAAAAAACAGUAAAUAAAAUCAUGAAAAUUUACAGAAAAAACAUAAGAGAAGAAACUCACUCUCUAUUUGCAAUAACACCACCGGUCAAGGUUGAACCAUUGUUUCCACCCCAUCCAACAAGCAUAACCCUAUCAAAAAAUUACACAGAAAAAAUGUCACAAAACCAUAGUAACGCAAAAUAAAGAAAACCCCAUUUUUUAAUUUCUCAAAUCUAGGGUAAAUUUUAAAUAUUU